CCUACGGGAGGCAGCAGUGGGGAAUAUUGCACAAUGGGCGCAAGCCUGAUGCAGCCAUGCCGCGUGUGUGAAGAAGGCCUUCGGGUUGUAAAGCACUCUCAGCGGGGAGGAAGGCGUUAAGGUUAAUAACCUUGUCGAUUGACGUUACCCGCAGAAGAAGCACCGGCUAACUCCGUGCCAGCAGCCGCGGUAAUACGGAGGGUGCAAGCGUUAAUCGGAAUUACUGGGCGUAAAGCGCACGCAGGCGGUCUGUCAAGUCGGAUGUGAAAUCCCCGGGCUCAACCUGGGAACUGCAUUCGAAACUGGCAGGCUAGAGUCUUGUAGAGGGGGGUAGAAUUCCAGGUGUAGCGGUGAAAUGCGUAGAGAUCUGGAGGAAUACCGGUGGCGAAGGCGGCCCCCUGGACAAAGACUGACGCUCAGGCGCGAAAGCGUGGGGAGCAAACAGGAUUAGAUACCCGUGUAGUC
rnacentral:rRNA from 1 species